rnacentral:rRNA from 1 species
CCUACGGGAGGCAGCAGUGGGGAAUUUUGGACAAUGGACGCAAGUCUGAUCCAGCCAUGCCGCGUGCGGGAAGAAGGCCUUCGGGUUGUAAACCGCUUUUGUCAGGGAAGAAAAGGUUCUGGCUAAUACCUGGGACUCAUGACGGUACCUGAAGAAUAGGCACCGGCUAACUACGUGCCAGCAGCCGCGGUAAUACGUAGGGUGCAAGCGUUAAUCGGGAUUACUGGGCGUAAAGCGUGCGCAGGCGGUUAUGCAAGACAGAUGUGAAAUCCCCGGGCUCAACCUGGGAACUGCAUUUGUGACUGCAUAGCUAGAGUACGGUAGAGGGGGGUGGAAUUCCGCGUGUAGCAGUGAAAUGCGUAGAUAUGCGGAGGAACACCGAUGGCGAAGGCAAUCCCCUGGACCUGUACUGACGCUCAUGCACGAAAGCGUGGGGAGCAAACAGGAUUAGAUACCCUGGUAGUCCACGCCCUAAACGAUGUCAACUGGUUGUUGGGAGGGUUUCUUCUCAGUAACGAAGCUAACGCGUGAAGUUGACCGCCUGGGGAGUACGGCCGCAAGGUUGAAACUCAAAUGAAUUGACGG